rnacentral:rRNA from 1 species
AACGAACGCUGGCGGCGCGUUUUAAGCAUGCAAGUCGAACGGUAGUGGUAGCAAUACCAUGAGAGUGGCGCACGGGUGAGUAAGACGUAGGUGAUCUACCUUUGGGUGGGGGAUAGCCCAUGGAAACAUGGGGUAAUACCGCAUGAGGCCUUUUGGGUGGAGCCAAGAGGUUAAAGGAGCAAUUGCUCCGCCUAUGGAUGAGCCUGCGGUCCAUUAGCUAGUUGGCGGGGUAAGAGCCCACCAAGGCUACGAUGGAUAGCCGGCCUGAGAGGGUGUACGGCCACACUGGGACUGAGACACGGCCCAGACUCCUACGGGUGGCAG